rnacentral:lncRNA from 1 species
AUUUGAAUGAACAGAGUAUAGUGAAUCCGUUAUAAAAAAUGAAUGUAGUUCCGCGUUUAAAAAAAGUGAAGUUCGGCUAAGUUUGAGUUAAAUUACACAUGAUCUAGUUUUGGAAAAAAUUCUCGGAUUUUCUUCUGUUCACGUUCAAAAAUUCCAAAGGUGUAUAUGCCAUUAGAGGUGAACUUGGAUUCAUCAGUCCAUAGGAUGUUUGAAAGAAGGUUUUCUUCAGCCUCCCAGAUCGACCUUUCGGCAAGGAACGUCAGAUGCCUGUCAUAAUCUGUGUCCGGAAGUCCUUGGACAAGAUGAAAGCGAUACGGCUUAAACUUAGAGAUUGAACAAAAUAUAUACAGAACUUUUAGCUUGUAACUGGAGAAAAAAUAAUGCUUUCCGUCGGCUAUAAUAAAUACAAAUAAUAAAAAAGUCCACUGAGCUCAUCAUUCCAAAGAUGCGGUUGGCAUAACUCUCCAGAGCAGAUAUAUUGGCAGAUUAACUAAAUAAAAACUAGGGAUUGUGUAUCGUACUUUUUGAUAUGAAUGCGUAUGAGUUGCAAUGAUGUGGAAGUCCAGGAUAACACACUGAAGAUGUAGCUACUCAAGUAUACCCUCUAAUAGGGGUCCUUAAUUUCACUUGUUAAAAUUGAGAAUUGGUCGGGUAUUAUAUAGCCCCGAGACCUAUCCUGGAACUUCGUUCCAGCGGAAGGUUGAGCCGGAUCACUGAAUAAAAGACCUGUAAAAGUCAAUCAAACAGAUGGAACCAAAAGAACGGACGUCACUUGGGUUGUGCAUUAUCAAAAAUUGGUGUAAAUCCGCAAAACUAGUAACUGCACGCGAUAAAACUGUCAAAGUUAUGCUGAAAAGAAUCUAAACUCAAGAAACCCUCACCAUUAUCUUAGAAGACAAGCACCCAACUAUACAAAGUCUAGCAGGUCUCAAUAUUGCAGGGUCAAUUCAUACCUGCCUCACUGCAGCAAUGGAAACUGAACUCAACUUCCCACCCUUACACGUUUAUGUACAAAAGGUGGCUUUUGAGAGUGUCAACAGACUCCUUAGAUAUAAAGAAAUAAAACCAGAUCUAAGGACCAGCCACCACCAAAUUUCCCAAAGAAUUAAGAUAAAUGAGAUGGCUACUACGGUGUCUGACAAAAUGAGGAAAAAGCUCAACUUUGACCGACCCUUCCAAGUUGAUAUAGACGAUAGAGACAUUUGGAAGAAAGUUGACCCAAGUUUCAAGGACGGGCCCUAAUAUGAUACACAGAUGGAUCAAAGAUGGAACAGGGAGUAGGCGUAGGGGUAAAAGGGCCGAAUUACACCCUAGCAAAGCCCCUUGGACUAAUCCCAACGAUUUGCCAAGCUUAAUUCCAUGCAAUACAACUAUGUGCACACCUACCAAUAAAAACAUGCAAAAGGUGCACAGAUAAACUUUCAAAAACUCUCAAACAGCCAGGCAGACAUAAAGAAACUAACUUCAUAUACUUUCAACUACAAACUUGUCUGGGAGUGGCUAUACUGUCUAAUGACUCUGGGAAAGCAAAACAAGAAAGCUUCAUGUGGGUUCCCUGACAUGAAGGCAUAGAAUGAGAAGAACAGGCUAACCAACUAGGCAAAAAGGGGCAAUCCUCUCACCCAUAGAACCAGAACCAUAACUAAGUUCUCCGGAGUGCGAGCUUAAGUUGGAAUUGGAAGAAAAAGUUGACAAAUAAAACCUAAAACACUGGAAAAACACUCUAGGUAUAAGAAAAACUAAGAGAUUUAUAAACAUUAAAAACAGAAAACGAAAGAAUUCCUCUAUCUCAGCAGUAAAGAAUUCAGGAGGAUUGUAGGCCUUUAUACAGGCAACGGCCUUCUUAAAUAUAACCUUAAGAAGGUGGGCAAGCUGAGACGGAAACAUACUGUCAGGAGGAACCAGAGGCCUGCCGAUGCACAUAUCCUCUGCGAAUGUGAAGCAUUAGCCCGUUUACGGUACAGCCCCUUUGGUAGGGCAUUUCUCAUACAUAAAGAGAGUCAGUUUUAUAAGAAAUAGACUUUCCAAUGUAUGGCUGUAAGCCAUAGGUAUUCCACAGUAGACCUGUUUAGGUCGCAGUGGAGGAUGAAUUUUAUUCAAUCAACCCCUCCCCCCAUCAAAAGGCAUAUCGUUAUGGUUAAGUCUAAUUCCAGUGAUAGUAUAAUCUUCGAUUUUAACCCCAAUUAUGAAGUAAAUGUAUAUACAUAGAAGACGAGAGAGAGAGUGAGAGAGAGAGAGCGAGAGAGAGAGAGAGAGAGAGAGAGAGAGAGAGAGAGAGAGCCCAUAGAAAUAGAGGGAUAAAGAACGACAUAGAGAGAAAAUGGACAUUCACGGCGCGAAGUUCAGCAGGUUCGCAAGAACAGCAUGUCGUGAUGGUUUAGUCUAAUGUCUGAGCCGUGAUCGUAUACUCUGUUUUUCCCUCCUUUCACCUUCAACAAUCAGCCUAUUUCCUUCUUCUCCACAUUUAAAAACCACGGGCUUACCGACAACCAAAACUAACUAAAUGAAUUAGCACCUGAAAUAAAAUAAAUAUGUAUCGCACUUCCGUUUCCCUAUUGAGCACUUCCGUGAGUUCCAUCGGUAAAGAACUAUGAAAACAGCUCGCAUAGAAAUAUUUGGGUCGACCUUCAAACAGAGCGAAAAGCCAAAGAAAACUAAGUAAAAUUGGCCUAAGAGCAUAGUGAAGAGAAAUAAAUUGAAAGACCUGGCGGUUUGAUUGACUUGUAUAUAUGUUGUAGCAUGAACUGGCAUCAACCGACAUCAAUGAUGUCGACUCAUUUAUCGAGUUCUUUUGACUGAUU